rnacentral:rRNA from 1 species
GAUGAACGCUAGCGGCAGGCUUAAUACAUGCAAGUCGAGGGGCAGCAUGAAUGUAGCAAUACAUUUGAUGGCGACCGGCAAACGGGUGCGGAACACGUACACAACCUUCCUAUAAGUGGGGAAUAGCCCAGAGAAAUUUGGAUUAAUACCCCGUAACAUAAUGAUGUGGCAUCACAUUAUUAUUAUAGCUACGGCGCUUAUUGAUGGGUGUGCGGCUGAUUAGAUAGUUGGCGGGGUAACGGCCCACCAAGUCUACGAUCAGUAGCUGAUGUGAGAGCAUGAUCAGCCACACGGGCACUGAGACACGGGCCCGACUCCUACGGGAGGCAGCAGUAAGGAAUAUUGGUCAAUGGACGCAAGUCUGAACCAGCCAUGCCGCGUGAAGGAUUAAGGUCCUCUGGAUUGUAAACUUCUUUUAUCUGGGACGAAAAAAGGCUAUUCUUAGUCACUUGACGGUACCAGAUGAAUAAGCACCGGCUAACUCCGUGCCAGCCGCCGCAGUAA